rnacentral:rRNA from 1 species
UACAGGAGGGUGCAAGCGUUGUUCGGAAUUACUGGGCGUAAAGCGCGUGUAGGUGGCGAGAUAAGUCGGGUGUGAAAUCCCUUGGCUUAACCAAGGAAGUGCAUUCGAUACUGUUUCGCUUGAGUAUCGGAGGGGUCGGCGGAAUUCCCGGUGUAGAGGUGAAAUUCGUAGAUAUCGGGAGGAACACCUGUGGCGAAGGCGGCCGACUGGACGAUCACUGACACUGAGACGCGAAAGCGUGGGUAGCAAACAGG